CAAUGGAGGAGCGAUGCGCCAUUCUCACAGAAUCAUCACGGAGCCGCAUUCGCAAGCUGGAGUGGCAAGACUUGUCGAGCUGCAUUAUGCUCCAACGCACCAAGAGCAUUCCGAUUUGUUUUCCUGCAUGAUGGUCGGCCUACAAAUCCCGCUGUGGAAUGCUGUAGGAAAUUGGUGUAGAGGUGCUGUGCCUGUGCCUUCUGCUGCUAAUUCUUCGUAUUUCAUGUGCAGAAGAUGAGUAUCAGAAACCAAGUCUCGGAUCACCAAUUAACAACGAGUGGUUUGCCAGCCUUACAAAGUCAUGUUCUUUUGAAUGCUGAUCAUAUGGAGCCCCAAUGAUUGUGAAUUGUAGUUGUGGUUAUCGGGAAUGCAA